UACGAAGGGGGCUAGCGUUGCUCGGAAUCACUGGGCGUAAAGGGUGCGUAGGCGGGUCUUUAAGUCAGGGGUGAAAUCCUGGAGCUCAACUCCAGAACUGCCUUUGAUACUGGCGACCUUGAGUCCGGGAGAGGUGAGUGGAACUGCGAGUGUAGAGGUGAAAUUCGUAGAUAUUCGCACGAACACCAGUGGCGAAGGCGGCUCACUGGCCCGGUACUGACGCUGAGGUGCGAAAGCGUGGGGAGCAAACAGG
rnacentral:rRNA from 1 species